rnacentral:rRNA from 1 species
GGUGAACGCUGGCGGCGUGCCUAAUACAUGCAAGUCGAGCGAACAGACGAGGAGCUUGCUCCUUCGACGUUAGCGGCGGACGGGUGAGUAACACGUAGGUAACCUACCUAUAAGGCUGGGAUAACUUCGGGAAACCGGAGCUAAUACCGGAUAAUAUUUCGAACCGCAUGGUUCGAUAGUGAAAGAUGGCUUUGCUAUCACUUAUAGAUGGACCUGCGCCGUAUUAGCUAGUUGGUAAGGUAACGGCUUACCAAGGCAACGAUACGUAGCCGACCUGAGAGGGUGAUCGGCCACACUGGAACUGAGACACGGUCCAGACUCCUACGGGAGGCAGCAGUAGGGAAUCUUCCGCAAUGGGCGAAAGCCUGACGGAGCAACGCCGCGUGAGUGAUGAAGGUCUUCGGAUCGUAAAACUCUGUUAUUAGGGAAGAACAAACGUGUAAGUAACUGUGCACGUCUUGACGGUACCUAAUCAGAAAGCCACGGCUAACUACGUG